AGAAGGUUUUCUCUAAAGUCAAACCCAAAUUCCUGCUGCUGCAAAGACCUGAGGAAGUACGAGCAACCCCUGCUGAAUCUGAUGAAGAAGUAGAGAUAGAGAGGGAUGUUGGUGAUGUUGGAUCCUAAUUUCAGUUCCUAUCUCACCACAGGACCUUGGGCAUAUUAACUAACCAAUAUAGAGUUCAAGUAAAGUGGACUUGGGGCAACGCCAGGAAAGCCUGUGGUUAGUUUUUUCUUUCAUGUGACCCUCUGCCCAAAUGACGAGUCUGGGAGUGCUGGGAUCCAGGAAAGGUAACCACAG